GACUGGGCAGGGCCAGAUCGAUUGGUAGCUCCUCGACUGUUCAUUAACCAGGUGGCUUUUGCUAAAGGUGUACCCCAAUGUUUAAAGGUCACAGCCCUGCCAUUUUUCUCGGUGUAGUUUUUAACAGUCUGCUGUAUUGCUGAAUUAUCCCAGCGGCUGGGGCAUGAUCAGGGAGGUGAUAUUGUAAGGAACUGAAGGAGUUAGUGACUCAAACAUCCAUCCAUGCAGAGAACCUCAAGGACAAGUUAUGCCCUUUGUGAUUAGCCCAAGGAAAUGGGGAGUGUACUGAAGGAUGCACAGCUCCACUCCCUUGCAGCUGUAUGUCCAAAUUCCUUAGAUAAGCAUCAAAGGAAGGAAACGCAGCCUGAGUGAAACCAGAUGUUCAGUCUGAGUGAAACGAUAUGUUCUGCCUAAAAGACUGAUAAGAGAGAGAAACAUCAGGCACCAGACCAGCCUCUCUUUGUCUAGGGCGCACAUCGGCCAAUAAGAUGAACUGAAAAGGCAACAGAAAACUUCGCUGUGUGUGCACCCACCACCGGACGUUACAGGACCUGACACAACGCUGGAACCUGGGGUGGUGAUCCAGCUCCAUCGACUCUUUCUCUCCCUUCAUUUUCUUUUACUUCUUUUCUUUUCUUUCUCACAUAUUUAUCAAAAAGAGGCCCAUUCCUUAUUAUCCCUUUUCUGAGUUUAAGUUGUUUCUACCGUAACUAAGACGUUUAAACUGGUCGCUCAGUGUCAUUUCACCUUCUGAGUCCCACACCCAGUAGGAAAGUACAACCCUGCCGGGCUGUGCUGCCCCGAGGAUUCACGAAUAGCUCCCCUGGCUCGGGAAGGUACUCACCAAAGAACGGGAAGAACAGCAAGUGGACCUGGAGAUGUUGCUUAUGGUUGGGUGAACAAACUGUGGAAAACCUGAGUCUUACCUGGAUGAAUUUAAGUUCUCUAGAUAGUUUAAAAGGAGGGAAUCGUCGCCCUAUAAAUGUUUCUUAUCAAGCUCAAGGACCGCUGAUCACUGGCCCUGCUGUGUAAGACUGAGACGAUCCAGGCCUUGCUAAUGACUUCACCACUGAAGAGGAGCUGAGAGACUGCCAGGAGGGGAACAUCCAGCCCCAGAAGGCCCCAAAGGCUGAAUAAUUUGCCCAAGAAGCACGAAGUCAGCAAAAAUCUGCGGUAACUGGUGGAAAAGUAAAGGUGGCAGGGGGAGAUUAUGAACACUGACUCAAUUCAAGACUGGAAAACUUACCCCCCACCUCACCUGGAGGGAGCACCGGUGCUUAUUUACACAACAAGGCUAAUUUAAAUGUAACUGACCCAUAGAAGAUCAAAUGGUAAUUAUGGACCAAUGAGUGUAAAUUUACAGGUUUCUACUAAUCAUGUAAUAGGAUAAAUGGGCUGUACUCUCUUUACAUACCCCACUAGCAUUGGGGAACUACGCCCCAGCACCCGUCUUUGUGCAACUAUGGAAUAAACUGGUAUCUGGGC